rnacentral:rRNA from 1 species
GUCGGGAAUUUUGGGCAAUGGGCGAAAGCCUGACCCAGCAACGCCGCGUGAAGGAUGAAAUUUUUCGGAAUGUAAACUUCGCAAGAAUGGGAAGAAUAAGUUCAGGAUAAUACCCUGAAUGAUGACGGUACCAUUUGUAAGCUCCGGCUAACUCCGUGCCAGCAGCCGCGGUAAUACGGGGGGAGCAAGCGUUGUUCGGAUUUACUGGGCGUAAAGGGCGCGUAGGCGGCGUGGUAAGUCACUUGUGAAAUCUCCGGGCUUAACUCGGAACGGUCAAGUGAUACUGCUGUGCUAGAGUGCGGAAGGGGCAACUGGAAUUCUCGGUGUAGCGGUGAAAUGCGUAGAUAUCGAGAGGAACACCUGCGGCGAAGGCGGGUUGCUGGGCCGACACUGACGCUGAGGCGCGAAAGCUAGGGGAGCGAACGGGAUUAGAUACCCGAGUAGUCC